GCCUUCAUAGUGUAGUGGUCAGCAUGCUUGAUGCAUAUUCUAGAGAUCCGUGGUUCAAAUCCUGGUGAGGGUA
rnacentral:tRNA from 1 species